GGGGGCAGCUCCGCCCCUCUCCCGGAUGGCUGUAUUAACGCAGCGCGCAGCGGCUCGGUCUUUCGGUCCCGGCCUUGGUGGUGAGUGUCCUCGUGGGAGGGUGUCAGGAUGUCCCCGUGUCCCCUCGAGCUUUGCCCGCCCCGAGCUCAGCUGCUCCCGGCGGCCAGAACGGAGGGGUAGAGCAGUUCUCAGCGGCCCGCGGGGCGGGCGGCAGUGUCCAGCCCGGGGCUGCGCGAGACACAAAGUCCUCUGUGCCGUCCGACCCGGGCACCCUGACCACCGCCCUUUCCCUCUGCAGGCCGAUCCACCCGAGCCGGUCCCCACUGCCCAGCCGUGCUGCUGCCUCGGACACAAGCGCAGGUACGUCCCGGCAUUGAUCGGAGGCAGGCCCUGGCCACGUGGCCGAGAAGACGGAGGUUCCAGGCCUGUCUUUGUUGAGCUGCGCCGGGCCUCCCCAGUCGCCCUUUCCUGUGCCCUUUUAAGGUUGUCGCAGUACUUUAAGAGGCUAACACAGAAGGGUAAAGGAACUCUCCAUAAAACCCAGAGAGGAAAACUACACCUCCUCUUUGGAUCCUGUCUGGAGUCACAAAUGAACCAAAAGCUUCAUUUAAAACUUGAAUGUGCGCAUUUUAGGUUCUGGCGAUUGCUAGGUAGUGAUAUAGGAUUUUAAAGAAAAGAAAACGUAGCCUACCUGGUUUAAUUUGGUUGGAGGAGAAAGUUCAGAAGACAAGAAUACAUUUGCUUUUCUAGAAGUGAGAUUUUAGGUCAGCUGGAAAGGAUAUAGUUGAGUAUGUUCCACUUAUGUGAAACAUUUUUAUUCUUUCAUAGGUUGAAAACUACAAGAAACCCGUGACUGAAUGGCUCCAAGGUGAAGUACUCUUGCAUGUAGUGACCAGGUUUGCCUGUAUUCCACUUUAGGAUUAGUAUCGAAGCUGAAAUAGGUGAAGUGAGGGCCAUGUGAGUUUCCUUGAAUGGCCUUGUAACUGAUUACCCUGAAGGUAGUUUGCUAAAGAUUUUAAUCAAUGUACUAGGAUCCUGCCCCACCCCUUCUUCAUGUCCCACUGCCCUAGAAUCAGAUCUGCAUGGCUAUGACAUGCUCGCCGUUUUAAAGAUGCAAAGAUUUCAUGCUAGAUCAUUAGAAUGUAUCUGGACUUCGUUAGGACAAGUUCUUUGCUAGUAACCAGUCACGUGCUAGCAAUUGAGGUGUGUUAACCUGUAUAUUGUUGCCUAUGAGUAAUUUUCCAUAAUCUUUAAUAAAGGCUUCCUGUGUCAAUUCUA
rnacentral:lncRNA from 1 species